GAUGAACGCUAGCUACAGGCUUAACACAUGCAAGUCGAGGGGCAGCACGGUGUAGCAAUACAUGGGUGGCGACCGGCGCACGGGUGCGUAACGCGUAUCCAACCUUCCCGUUACUCAGGGAUAGCCUUCCGAAAGGGAGAUUAAUACCUGAUGGUGUUCAAAUUCCGCAUGUUAUUUGAACUAAAGAUUCAUCGGUAACGGAUGGGGAUGCGUGACAUUAGGUAGAUGGCGGGGUAACGGCCCACCAUGCCUUCGAUGUCUAGGGGUUCUGAGAGGAAGGUCCCCCACACUGGAACUGAGACACGGUCCAGACUCCUACGGGAGGCAGCAGUGAGGAAUAUUGGUCAAUGGUCGAGAGACUGAACCAGCCAUGCCGCGUGAAGGUCACGGUCCUAUGGGUCUUAAACUUCUUUUGUAAGGGAGCAAUAAGUCUCACGUGUGGGAUGAUGAGAGUACCUCGCGAAUAAGCAUCGGCUAACUCCGUGCCAGCAG
rnacentral:rRNA from 1 species